CUCAUGAUUACUAUUUUAACCAAAUCACACGGCGUCUUCACCGGCGAUUGGAUCUGGAGCACUCGUCCCUGGUUCAGAUGUGUCGGAUGAUGAAGACGAUGGGUGAUCGUGAUGGUGACACAGAGCUAGAAGGCCACGAGGAGUUCAAUAUGAUAUCACAAUGGUAUGAAGAAUAUCUGCUAUUGCCGGCGUGUUGUCUUUGUAGCAGCUCAUUGAGAAGUUAGGCUUUAAUAAUGUGACUGAUAAGCCAGCUGCACUUAAAAUGAUGAGAGAUGUAUGUGAAUCUGUUCUUGAAUCCUCCGAAAGGAAGCAAAGCUAAUAGAUAGUGGCAGUGAUAUCUUGAAGAGUUACAGAGUGGCCGUGCGAAGGCAGCUUGGGCAGGUUAACAAGGGAUUGCAUUGGAAUUAUUUCUGAUUAAGUAUUAGCUCUGGAUUACCACUGUUGUUGGUGUUAGUCCAGCUGUACUGGUGCCAUAACUAUACUAUCUGGGUUGGCACUUCAGUUGAAUUCUGGAUUUAUUCUUUUGGUCUAGUUCUCUCCUUAUGAUUGUCUUCUACUGUAUGACCUGGUAUAUCAUACUUCAAAACAUGUUGGGCCUGUUUUUUUGCGAUACUCAGUGAGGAACAUGUGCAGGUGUGGGGCUUGAUAAAGCUUGGAGAUUACUGGUGAAUCACUCGGAGGUAUUAUAGGGAUUACUGGUGAAUCACUCGGAGGAAUGCAUGCAUGGUUUGCUGCUUUUGUGGAUACACGGUACAGUGUUGUUGUUCCAAUAAUUGGUGUUCAGGGAUUUCAAUGGGCAAUAGAUAAUGACAUGUGGCAAGCUAGAGUUGAUAGCAUUAAGCCUUUAUUUGAAGAAGCAAGAAUUGAUUCAGGGAAGAGUGAAAUAGAUGCAGAGGUUGUGAAAAAGGUGACUAUCUGAUUUAUUUGAUAUUUAUUGUUAGAACUAAUCUUGUUAUUAGUGCGUACGAUUAGAUAUGUUUAUAUCAUGCUUGUAGUUGAGCUGCGGCUGUGUGUGCACGUCAGGUUGUGUUCACGUGCACAAGGCAAAGCUAAUUAUGCAUGAUAGUUAGAUGCAUGCGUUAAAGCUCCGCGAGUUCGAUGGCCGAGUUGCGUGCAGGUGGAGAUGGAGCAAGAAUCGGACGCAUUAGUUGUGGCAUGCGCCAAUUCAGCUAGAGGCCUGCAGAAACUUGGAAACGACUCAAGCUGGAACGUGUGUGUGCUGUUAGUCAGUUGAGUAAUAACCGGACCAAGCCAAUGUGUGUGGCUGGCCGUUGUGUGUGCAUGCAUGGCAGAAGUGGUGCGUGUGUGUGCAUGCAGCUAGGUAGUUAGUUAGUGGGUCAAAGUAGUGGCGUGAGUUUAGAUGGCAUGGGUGCUUGCCGUGUGUAUAAAUAGUCAUUUCAGUCAAUGAGUGAAGAAGAGCCGUGAGGGCAGUAACAAAAUAUGUAGCGAAUAUGUUCACCAAGGAGAAGAGCCCGUGGGCAAAGCUUUGUGCUCCUUCUUGGUAUAUGUGUGCGUGUGUGUUCUUUGA